AACCGCCAUGUUGGAUGUUGAUUCGACGAUCAUUGUCCCGAUAGUCGUUUCAGCGAACGGUCUCAUAGCGAAGAGUCUAGACCAAUAACACCUUGAGAGACUCUCGCUAGGUGGUUGGAUCAAGGGUCAGAUGCAGAAGGCGGUGAUCUUGGACACGGCGCGGAUAGUCCGCCGGUUCCUCUCUCUGUGGCCCUGACCACCGGCAGCUUGGGCCCUACCCCGCUGCCGGCGGCACCCUAGGUUAGGUUUUUUAUAAUGUGUUCAUAUCUUUUGUAUUGUUUUGUAAGUGUUUUUAUAUUUUACUUUUAUAAACAUAUUGUAAAAAUCCUAACCUAAAAAGGAAAAUAAAUAAAG